rnacentral:rRNA from 1 species
GUGUCAGCAGCCGCGGUAAUACAUGGGGUGCAAACGUUGCUCGGAAUCAUUGGGCGUAAAGCGCACGUAGGCGGUUCGUUAUGUCGGAUGUGAAAGCCCUCGGCUUAACCGGGGAAGUGCAUCCGAAACUGGCGAGCUUGAGUACUAAAGAGGGUCGCGGAAUUCCCGGUGUAGAGGUGAAAUUCGUAGAUAUCGGGAGGAACACCAGCGGCGAAGGCGGCGACCUGGGUAGAUACUGACGCUGAGGUGCGAAAGCGUGGGGAGCAAACAGGAUUAGAUACCCCGGUAGUCC